GACGAACGCUGGCGGCGUGCUUAACACAUGCAAGUCGAACGAAGAGCGAUGGAAGCUUGCUUCUAUCAAUCUUAGUGGCGAACGGGUGAGUAACGCGUAAUCAACCUGCCCUUCAGAGGGGGACAACAGUUGGAAACGACUGCUAAUACCGCAUACGCUCUAAUCUCGGCAUCGAGGAUAGAUGAAAGGUGGCCUCUACAUGUAAGCCAUCACUGAAGGUGGGGAUUGCGGCUGAUUAGCUAGGUGGAGGGGUAAGGGCCCACGAAGGCGAUGAUCAGUAGCAGGACGGAGAUGAUGAGCGGCCGGAUUGAGACUGAGACACGGCCCAGACUGAUACAGGAGGCAGCAGUAGGGAAUCGGGCGCAAUGGGCGAGAGACUGUGCGAGCAGGGCCGCGUGAGUGAUGAGCGACGUCGGGUGCGAGAGCUCUGUUAUUGGGGUCGAAAGGGCUUCUUGCGAACAGGUAGAAGGAGUGACGGUACCGGAUUAGAAAGCAACGGCUAACUACGUG
rnacentral:rRNA from 1 species